GGGAAAUGGAGGACAGAAUAAUAUUGUUGAAAAUUCUCAAUUUUGUACUGCUCUGAAAUAUGGUCAGCAUUUGCAACCUAGACUCCUUAAUAAUUAGGGGUUGCCAAGUUUGAACUGGAAGGCCCAAUAUAUUAAUCCAGGAGGACACAACAAACUCAUUUUAUUCUUGUGGACAAAAUGGAGACACAUGGACUACAUUAGGUUCGUUAUUUUAGACUCUGCUGGCUUGAAUGUCUUAGUAUUCAAUGGAGAAAUAUUACACAAGGGGAGAGAAUUGAACGGAGUUGAGGUGUUGAGACUGCCAUUGGACUUUUGGGCUCCUCCUGCCAAUGGACCAAGAGGAAAAUGAAAAAAAAGAAAAGUUUAUUGUGAUGAUGGUUUCCUAUAAUUUUCUAUGGUGGACCUCAGGGAUUCUUCUAGAGUGCCUCCUAGUAUUGUAAUAUCCAGUGGUAAAAUUAAUGGGAGACUAUAGCAACCCCACAUACAGUUGGGACUGCCAGGGCUUAGAGCUCUCAGGAAGCAUUGCCUGAGCACAAAGGGAACCUGGAGGAAGUUCCGAUGCCAACGGGAUCUCAGGAGCACUUGCAGAAAGGAAAAUUGUUGUUUCUGCUCAUGUUUUCUUCCUUGUUCUUCUGUAUAUAUUAUAAUAUAUUGUUUUUCUUCUUGUUUCCCUAGUUUUAAAAAAAUUAAUAAAUAUUUUAUGUUU